GCGGUUUUUUCCGAGCGACCGUUAUCACGUGACGCAAUGGAGCAGGGUUGGGCCCUUAUGACGACUCCAGUUCGUGUGCGUUCCUGGGAGUGCGCGUGCGCCAUGAUUCGAAGUCAGCCUCCGUACCUUGAUCCACACUGCGUUGAAAGACUGGCACAUGCGGUUGUCAACACUGGUCCAGGGCUCCUACUCACGCUGUCAGGCUGCUGAGCCAUCUCACCGUUCCUCAUUUUUGUAUUUUUGAGAUACAGUUUUGCUAUUUUACCCACACUGGCUUUAAACUCGAAGAUUCUGCCUCCACUUUGAUGUCGCUAGAUUACAAAUAAGACCAUGUCACUAGGCAACUGAGGGUUUAAUAGAUUGCCCCUGUGUUAAGAGUGCUUAGCGCCGGGCAGCCGUAGCGCAGGCCUUAAUCCUAGCACUUGGGAGGCAGAGGCAGGAGGAUUUCUGAGUUCGAGGCCAGCCUGGUCUACAAAGUGAGUUCCAGGACUUCUAGGGCUACACAGAGAAACCCUGUCACAAAAAACCAAAAAAAAAAAAAAAAAAAGAGUCCUUAGCAUAGGAGGCCCUGGGUCAGACCCCCGUACCACAUACACAAAACAGGCAAAUUCCAGGCAAGGAUGAACAGAACAAAGCUCUCAAACUCCCAGGUCCGGAGCUCUUCAUAUCUGGUGUCCAUCUAUAGGGAUUUAUUGCUGCUAUCAGAGUUGGUGUCUGGCUUUUUUUCUUCCUAGGUUUUAGAGACCUACCUCACCAAAGUCUGAACUUGAGGAAAAAGUUCUAAAUGAACCCAUUUGUAGGAGACCUGAGGUGCUUCUGAUCUGGAAUACGCUCUAAAUGACACACCUGUUCUAACAGCGCCGCCAAGUGGUAGACAUGGUUAUGUCUGUGCAUCACAUAUGUGCCAGGGUCCGCAGAAAGUCAGAAGAGAGUGUUGAAUCUUCCAGAACUGGAGUUACUUCUGAGGCGCCUCCCCAGCCCCUGCAGACAGAUGUUAGUAAACUAUUUUUUCUUUCAGCCUUUCUCAGUGUCUGUCUGUCUGUCUGUCUGUCUCUUUCUCCGUGUGUGUGUGUGUGUGUGUGUGUGUGUGUGUGUGUGUGUGUGUGUAGCCACACGCUGUAUGAAGGUCAGAGACAUUUCUAUUUUUGUCUUUAUGUGAGAUCCCAAGGAUGAACUCAGGCUGAUUAUCUACACCCAGGUAAAGAGCAGAGCAUGGUAGUGUACAACUGUAACCCCAGGUUGGGGAAGGAGACACAGAGGAUCCCUUGGGUCUCAUUGGUUAGCCAACCUAGCAGAACAAGCUAGCUCUGGGAUUAGUGAGACAGACUGAAGAAGUAAUAAAGACAACUAGACGGGCA
rnacentral:lncRNA from 1 species